rnacentral:rRNA from 1 species
GACAGAGGAUGCAAGCGUAUCCGGAAUGAUUGGGCGUAAAGCGUCUGUAGGUGGCUUUUUAAGUCCGCCGUCAAAUCCCAGGGCUCAACCCUGGACAGGCGGUGGAAACUAGCAAGCUUGAGUACGGUAGGGGCAAAGGGAAUUCCCGGUGUAGCGGUGAAAUGCGUAGAUAUCGGGAAGAACACCAAAGGCGAAAGCACUCUGCUGGGCCGACACUGACACUGAGAGACGAAAGCUAGGGGAGCGAAUGGG